UACGAAGGGGGCUAGCGUUGCUCGGAAUUACUGGGCGUAAAGCGCACGUAGGCGGAUUGUUAAGUCGGGGGUGAAAUCCUGGAGCUCAACUCCAGAACUGCCCUUCGAUACUGGCGAUCUCGAGUUCGGGAGAGGUGAGUGGAACUGCGAGUGUAGAGGUGAAAUUCGUAGAUAUUCGCAAGAACACCAGUGGCGAAGGCGGCUCACUGGCCCGAUACUGACGCUGAGGUGCGAAAGCGUGGGGAGCAACAGGGAUUAAGAAACCCCAGUACGUCAC
rnacentral:rRNA from 1 species